rnacentral:tRNA from 1 species
GCCUGAGUGGCUCAGUCGGUUGAGUGUCUGACUUCGACUCAGGUCGUGAUAUUGCGGUUCAUGGGUUUAAGCCCCGCAUCGGGCU